UGAUCAUGGGCUCAGGAUGAACGCUAGCUACAGGCUUAACACAUGCAAGUCGAGGGGCAGCAUGGUCUUAGCUUGCUAAGGCCGAUGGCGACCGGCGCACGGGUGAGUAACACGUAUCCAACCUGCCAUCUACUAUUGGACAGCCUUCUGAAAGGAAGAUUAAUACAAGAUGGCAUCAUGAGUCCGCAUGUUCACAUGAUUAAAGGUAUUCCGGUAGACGA
rnacentral:rRNA from 1 species